GACGAACCGUGCAAACGUUAUUCGGAAUCACUGGGCUUAAAGGGCGCGUAGGCGGGCCGCCAGGUCCGGGGUGAAAGCCUCCAGCUCAACUGGAGAAGUGCCUUGGAUACCGGCGGCCUCGAGGGAGGUAGGGGCGUGCGGAACUUCGGGUGGAGCGGUGAAAUGCGUAGAUAUCCGAAGGAACACCGGUGGCGAAAGCGGCGCGCUGGAUCUCUUCUGACGCUGAGGCGCGAAAGCCAGGGGAGCAAACAGG
rnacentral:rRNA from 1 species